rnacentral:rRNA from 1 species
AAUCAACGCUGGCGGCGUGCCUCAGACAUGCAAGCCGAACGAUUAAAGCUCUCUUCGGAGAGUGCAUAGAGUGGCGCACGGGUGAGUAACACGUAAGUAAUCUACCUUCGAGUGGGGAAUAACGUCCGGAAACGGACGCUAAUACCGCGUAAUGCAGCGGCAUCGCAAGAUGACAGUUGUUAAAGAUUUAUCGCUUGAAGAAGAGCUUGCGGCAGAUUAGCUAGUUGGUAAGGUAAUGGCUUACCAAGGCUACGAUCUGUAACCGGUCUUAGAGAACGUUCGGUCACACUGACACUGAAUAACGGGUCAGACUCCUACGGGAGGCAGCAGUCGGGAAUUUUGGGCAAUGGGCGAAAGCCUGACCCAGCAACGCCGCGUGAAGGAUGAAGUAUUUCGGUAUGUAAACUUCGAAAGAAUGGGAAGAAUCAAUGACGGUACCAUUUAUAAGGUCCGGCUAACUACGUGCCAGCAGCCGCCGUAA